rnacentral:lncRNA from 1 species
GAGGGCGGACUGGCGCGCGCGGGCUGGGCGGGCUUGGCGCGCACUCCCCGGGUGGGAUGACCGGAAUGCUUGUGUGUCCGGGUUGCAAAAGAGCCCCUCAAUCCUGAACCUAGAGUGACUGCAGUCCGGAAAUUUAGCCUCGAUUUAUUAUUAGACGUCGGAUAAGAGGGAUUCACAGCUGCCCUGACUCCAUACUGGGAAUAUUAUGUAAGAAGAGUUAGCAGGACAUGCUGGAUGCACGUGGACACGGGGUGCUCCCUCCACGGCCCAGGUCGUGGUCAGCUGCAGGGGGAUGGGAACACAGAGGCAUCUGCUUCCCUCCUGGCAGGGUCUUUCCUACUACUGCUGCCAGGGUUAAUGAAACAUUCAAAGGUGUGGUGAUUUAAGUAAGAAUGGCCCCCCCAUAAGAUCAUGUUUGCGAAUGCUUAGUUCUCAGGGACUGGGACUACAUAGAAGGAUUAGGAGGUGUGGUCUUAUUGGGAGAAGUCUGUGGGCCUUGGGGUUUCAGAAACCCAAACCAGGCCCAUGGCUCUAUCUCUUCCCGUUGCCUUUGAAGCCAGAUGGUAGAACUCUCAGCUACUUCUCAAGCCCCAUGUCAAUCUGCAUACUGCCAUGUCCCAACACCACCAUCAUGGUGACAAACUUCUGAAACUGUAAACAAUGAAAUGCUUUCUUUUAUAUAAGAGUUGUCAUGGUCAUGGUAUCCCUUCACUGCAUUAGAACCCUAAGUUAGUGAGAUAUAUUGCCGAUAGAAUACAAAGAUAAUGGUAGAUAGUAAAUGUAAGGGUGUUGCUGGCUGUGAUUUUGUGUUGUGCUAAUAUGUACUAUGAUAUACUGUAUAUGGGAACUGUAACUGAAAAGAAAUACUUUUGUAGCUUAUUUGUGUUUUGUAGUGUAAGACAUUUCUUGGGAAUUGUAUUCAAAUUGUAUUUUUUGUAAUUUGCAAUUUGGGGGGGGUUCCCAGUGAUAUUUCCUAGUCACUUUGAUAAACUACCUUUCUCUAGCCAGGCUUUGCCUUCUACAGGUUCACCUCCAAAAACACUGCUACCAGCUGGGGCCAAGUGUUCAAAUUAGAUCAGUCAGUGGAAGACAGGUUCCAUUCAAAUUAUCCUCUUUCUUUCCUUUUAUUGUUAUUAUUUGUUAUUAUUAUUGUUGUUGUUAUUGUUAUAUUUUUAUUAUUUAAAACAAUUUUUAAGUUUAAAUAUAUUUUGAUCAUGUUCUUCCCCGCCCUCAAGUCUUCACCCCUUUGCAACCAACUUAAGUUCUUUCUUGAAAAACAAAUUAAAAAUCAGUACAACAGAAUCUCUCCAAACCAAAAAACAAAAUAUGAUUCCCCUCCUCCCGAAAAAACACCAAAAUGCAACCAAAUAAAAACGUACAAAAAACUGUGGGAUCC